CAAGGUUUAAUCAGAAGAGGUUUCUAUCUCUUCCGUGCAUUGUCAAGUGCCCACCACGAUUUGUCUCCCCAAUCCUGGACUGACAGAUUGAGAGAAUAAGCAAAGAGCCAGAACAUGAGCAUCUUGCUGGUGUUGGUUCUAACAAAGGUAAUGUUUCAUCAUUUGAGCCUAGAAUCUAUGCCCUUCUGAGAAUCCCACAGACAGGAAGCAUCUGUAUUUAUGAAGUUUAC
rnacentral:lncRNA from 1 species